rnacentral:rRNA from 1 species
UACGUAGGGGGCUAGCGUUGUCCGGAUUUAUUGGGCGUAAAGAGCGUGUAGGCGGCCAGGUAGGUCUGGUGUGAAAACUCGAGGCUUAACCUCGAGAUGUCAUCGGAAACCAUCUGGCUAGAGUCCGGAAGAGGGGAGUGGAAUUCCUGGUGUAGCGGUGAAAUGCGCAGAUAUCAGGAAGAACACCAAUGGCGAAAGCAGCUCUCUGGGACGGUACUGACGCUGAGACGCGAAAGCGUGGGGAGCGAACAGG